GGCGCCAGUUUCUCGAUCGCUCCAAUUCGUUCUUUGACAUAUUCGAUGAUAACCACGGGGAUCUCGAGAACCCUUCGUCCUCGCGAGCAAUUUCUAUUCGAAGCUCGACAGAGGUUAUAUCCACCCAUGGAAAGAAGAACAUCUGAUUUGACCAAGGAUUUAGUUGCUAGAAAGGAUGCCGUGUAACGAUGAUUUCGAGGUGGCAUAAUUAAGGACGCAAACAUCACGCCCACUUAGAGCACACCACGGACGAUUGAAAGCAAAGAAUCGAAGAUUGAUGAUGCCAUUUGGAUAAUCGCCACCGUCGCCGACUGGCUCACGGCGGUUUUUGAAUAAAGAAGAAUCGGUUUCUUCGCGGCGACGGCGUGAAAAUGGGACCUGGACGCCUGGUUGAAUAGCGGCUGCACAAAUCACCGUCGCUCGAAUGAAUGAAAGGAAUGACCCAUUUCCGGAUGCUACCAUAUACGCCGAUUUCUGACUCAUCUCCUCGGACGCCGUUCCACGUCCUUGUUCCUCCUACGGUACAUUGAAAACGAAACUGGUUAUUUUUCUCUUCGGCUUCCUACUUCUAUUCAAUAACACGUAGACGCAGCCUCGGGGCGAAAGUGAGCUUCGUUUGGCAAUCGAACGAUGCCAGAGAUCUUUCAACACCCUUUGUUUGGAGGUUAGGAGGAUCGGUGUCAAUUUUUCACGAAACGUGAAACGACGAAUGGCUACAAAAGGCGCGCUGUAUACGUCAGACUGUAAACUACGUUUCAACACUGUGAUCUGUUUAUUCUGGACUCUGCUGGACACUGCUAAAACUUCUGACAACGUGUAACGAUCACUACUGACUGCAACCAGCCUCUGCUGGUCUCUACAUGCCUCUACUGGUCUCUGCCUAUCUCUGCUCACCUCUGCUAGCCUCUGCUGACCGCUGCUGACCAUUCCGCAUACUUCUGACAACGUAGAACGAUUACAACUUGGUACUGCCUGCCCCUGCUGGUCUCUGCUGGGCCUCUACAUGCCUCUACUGGUCUCUGCCUAUCUCUGCUCACCUCUGCUGGCCUCUGCUGACCGCUGCUGACCGCUCGUCAUACUUCUGACAACGUAGAACGAUUACAACUUGGUACUGCCUGCCCCUGCUGGUCUCUGCAGGCCUCUGCUUGCCUCUGCUGACCUCUGCUAGCCUCUACAUGCCUCUACUGGUCUCUGCUUAUCUCUGCUCACCUCUGCUGGCCUCUGCUGACCACUCCUCAUACUUCUGACAACG